rnacentral:rRNA from 1 species
UUGUCGGGUAAGUUCCGACCUGCACGAAUGGCGUAAUGAUGGCCAGGCUGUCUCCACCCGAGACUCAGUGAAAUUGAACUCGCUGUGAAGAUGCAGUGUACCCGCGGCAAGACGGAAAGACCCCGUGAACCUUUACUAUAGCUUGACACUGAACAUUGAGCCUUGAUGUGUAGGAUAGGUGGGAGGCUUUGAAGCGUGGACGCCAGUCUGCGUGGAGCCGACCUUGAAAUACCACCCUUUAAUGUUUGAUGUUCUAACGUGGACCCGUUACCCGGGUUGCGGACAGUGUCUGGUGGGUAGUUUGACUGGGGCGGUCUCCUCCUAAAGAGUAACGGAGGAGCACGAAGGUUGGCUAAUCCUGGUCGGACAUCAGGAGGUUAGUGCAAUGGCAUAAGCCAGCUUGACUGCGAGCGUGACGGCGCGAGCAGGUGCGAAAGCAGGUCAUAGUGAUCCGGUGGUUCUGAAUGGAAGGGCCAUCGCUCAACGGAUAAAAGGUACUCCGGGGAUAACAGGCUGAUACCGCCCAAGAGUUCAUAUCGACGGCGGUGUUUGGCACCUCGAUGUCGGCUCAUCACAUCCUGGGGCUGAAGUAGGUCCCAAGGGUAUGGCUGUUCGCCAUUUAAAGUGGUACGCGAGCUGGGUUUAGAACGUCGUGAGACAGUUCGGUCCCUAUCUGCCGUGGGCGCUGGAGAACUGAGGGGGGCUGCUCCUAGUACGAGAGGACCGGAGUGGACGCAUCACUGGUGUUCGGGUUGUCAUGCCAAUGGCACUGCCCGGUAGCUAAAUGCGGAAGAGAUAAGUGCUGAAAGCAUCUAAGCACGAAACUUGCCCCGA